GCGCGCCCACCUGAAAACAAAAUAAGACCUUCCCUGCUUAAUAAAGCAGGAAGCUUUCCCCAACUUUCUUUCAAGAAAAAGGCAGAAUAGUACUCCUUGUACUGUUCAUGCUCCUUCAACCAAGAAUCUCCCAACAGACCUCCAAGCUUAGUUCCUUUCAAAUGCUUAUAUAGAUGCCAAUGAUUAUUCAUCAAGAACACAUAUGACAAAAUAACAUCUUGAUAGGCCUUUGACCAUGUCUCUAAAUUCACGUCAACAGCUCUCAUUAUAUUCAGUAGCUCAGUAAUGAGAAGCCGCUCUUGAAAUUUUUCCUGCUUCCAACUUCUUUCAAUAAUCAGAACUUGGGUGAGGAUAGACUUAUAAUCAUCCCCGAGCAACUUAUUGCAAUAGUCGGUGAUGAAAAUGAUAAG
rnacentral:misc_RNA from 1 species